rnacentral:rRNA from 1 species
AUGGAUCGCUCGCCUGCCAAGUUCGUCUUGCUCCUUAUGGCAGCGGCAACCUGGAGCUUCUUUCUCGUCGCCGAGGCAGGCAAGCUCCAGCCGAGCUGCAUAGGGCACGAGAGGAACGCGUUGCUGGCCUUCAAGCAAGGCAUCAGCGACGACCCCAAGGACUACCUUGGGUCAUGGCGACAAGAGCGCCAAGAUUGCUGCCAAUGGGCAGGCAUCACAUGCGACAACGUAACCGGCCAUGUCGUCAAGCUUGACCUUGGCCAAAGAAAUUAUUUGGCCGGCCAGAUAAGUCCUUCCUUGCUUUCUCUAGAGCAUCUCGAGUACCUCAAUCUCAACUCAACGGGACUGUGUGGGCCUGAUGGUCGUAUUCCAGAGUUCUUGGGUUCUUUAAGGAACUUGAGGCAUCUUGAUCUCUCCUACUCGUGUAUGUACUCAACAAACAUCUCAUGGUUAACUCGUCUUCCUCUGUUGGUGCAUCUUGAUAUGAGUGGGACCAAUCUCAGCUUAGUUGCCGAUUGGCCUCUUGUUCUCAAUAAGAUUCCAUCUUUGGAGUUGCUCCGUCUUCCUGAGUGCUCGCUUUCAAGUGCAAACCAAUCCCUCGCACACCUAAACCUCACAAAUCUUCAAUACCUUGAUCUCUCAAAUAACUACUUUGGUCAUCCAAUUGCAUCCAGUUGGUUUUGGAACAUAACAAGCAUCAAGUACCUCGACCUUUCUGGUACCUCUCUCUAUGGUCCGUUUCCUAAUGCACUAGGAAAUAUGACAUCUCUCCAAGAACUUUAUUUUGGCCCCUAUUCUUCCGAUGGUGACUCACCCACCACAACUGCUAACACGGCCACAAUGACAGUAGACUUGAAAAAUCUAUGUGAUUUGGAAGACCUAUUGCUUGAUGGAAGCCUCUCCUCUGGGAACAUAACAGAGUUUAUAGAUAAACUGCCAAGGUGUUCAUCCAACAGAUUGCAGCGUUUGAGGUUGAGCCGCAACAAUAUGGUUGGAAUUCUACCAGACAGAUUGGGGAACUUAACCAACUUAGCUUUGUUGGACCUUUCUUACAAUAACAUUACUGGAGCUAGGCAUAAGCAAUCUUUCUUGUUUAGAAACACUUGA